rnacentral:rRNA from 1 species
AGUGAACGCUGGCGGCGUGCCUAAUACAUGCAAGUCGAACGGAGAUUAAGUAGCUUGCUAUUUAAUCUUAGUGGCGCACGGGUGAGUAAUGUAUAGUUAAUCUGCCCCACAGUGGAGGACAACAGUUAGAAAUGACUGCUAAUACUCCAUACUCCUUCUUAUCAUAAGUUAAGUCGGGAAAGUUUUUCGCUAUGGGAUGAGACUAUAUCGUAUCAGCUAGUUGGUAAGGUAAUGGCUUACCAAGGCUAUGACGCGUAACUGGUCUGAGAGGAUGAUCAGUCACAUUGGAACUGAGACACGGUCCAAACUCCUACGGGAGGCAGCAGUAGGGAAUAUUGCGCAAUGGGGGAAACCCUGACGCAGCAACGCCGCGUGGAGGAUGACACUUUUCGGAGCGUAAACUCCUUUUGUUAGGGAAGAAUAAUGACGGUACCUAACGAAUAAGCACCGGCUAACUCCGUGCCAGCAGCCGCGGUAAUACGGAGGGUGCAAGCGUUACUCGGAAUCACUGGGCGUAAAGGACGCGUAGGCGGAUUAUCAAGUCUCUUGUGAAAUCUAGUGGCUUAACCACUAAACUGCUUGGGAAACUGAUAAUCUAGAGUAAGGGAGAGGCAGAUGGAAUUCUUGGUGUAGGGGUAAAAUCCGUAGAGAUCAAGAAGAAUACUUAUUGCGAAGGCGAUCUGCUAGAACUUAACUGACGCUAAUGCGUGAAAGCGUGGGGAGCAAACAGG